rnacentral:rRNA from 1 species
CAGUCGCCGCGGUAAUACGGAGGGGGCUAGCGUUGUUCGGAAUUACUGGGCGUAAAGCGCACGUAGGCGGCUUUGUAAGUUAGAGGUGAAAGCCCGGGGCUCAACCCCGGAAUUGCCUUUAAGACUGCAGGGCUAGCAGGUGAGAGAGGUGAGUGGAAUUCCGAGUGUAGAGGUGAAAUUCGUAGAUAUUCGGAAGAACACCAGUGGCGAAGGCGGCUCACUGGCUCAUACUGGACGCUGAGGCGCGAAAGCGUGGGGAGCAAACAGGAUUAGAUACCCGGGUAGUCCCUGUCUCUUAUAC